UUGGGCCGCCAUGUUUUUCCGCAUGAGCCGCGGGAAUUCUCUAGAGUUUGAUCAUGGCUCAGAUUGAACGCUGGCGGCAUGCCUUACACAUGCAAGUCGAACGGCAGCACGGACUUCGGUCUGGUGGCGAGUGGCGAACGGGUGAGUAAUGCAUCGGAACGUACCCGGGAGUGGGGGAUAACUAUCCGAAAGGAUAGCUAAUACCGCAUAUUCUGUGCGCAGGAAAGCAGGGGACCUUCGGGCCUUGUGCUCCCGGAGCGGCCGAUGUCAGAUUAGCUAGUUGGUGGGGUAAAGGCCUACCAAGGCGACGAUCUGUAGCGGGUCUGAGAGGAUGAUCCGCCACACUGGAACUGAGACACGGUCCAGACUCCUACGGGAGGCAGCAGUGGGGAAAUUUUGGACAAUGGGGGCAACCCUGAUCCAGCCAUGCCGCGUGAGUGAAGAAGGCCUUCGGGUUGUAAAGCUCUUUCGGCCGGGAAGAAAAUCGCGGUUGGCUUAAUACCCAGCGUGGGAUGAACGGGUACCGGAAAUAAGAAAGCCACCGGGCUUAACUACGUUGCCCAGCCAGCCCGCGGGUUAAUUACGUAGGGGUGCCGAGCGUUUAAUCGGAAU
rnacentral:rRNA from 1 species